UUGUAGAAUUGGUUCCAGCUCUGCCCUUCCCUGGCCACUAUUAAAGUUAUUGACCACAUUCAAAGCAUCAGAUUCAAAGAUUAUAGUGUCCAACUCCAAAGCCUGAGCACCAAAGAACCUUCAUCUUCUAUCCUCUUCUUCAUCAAUUACUUUUUCUUCACCAAAGAACCACACUAAUACCCACCAUAAACUACAAAUAUUUGAAGAAGAAGCUUGAUGGUUCACGUAGGAAGCUUUUGGGUUAGUUUUGGGUGCUAGGGAUUUUGCUCUAAGAGAGGAAAAGAGUACCCACCCAGUGAAGAGUACUCACUUGAGCUCAAUGAGAUUUGCCGACCACGGACUCAUCCGGACAUCUUGAAGUUGUUGGGAGCGCUUCUCUUGAUCCUUCAUAGUUAUUCACAGGUAGCUGAGUAGGAGGUUGUUUCAGUUGCAGCUUGUACAGUUACUUCUUUUUGGUAGGCCUCCUACGGUUGGUGGUCGUGUUGAUGUCUUUUGUUGAUCUUUUUGGUAUUCUGCAGCUAUAGGGAAUAUGUAAUAGUCAUUUUUUGUAAGUGUAAAAGUUCUACGAUGUAUUUGAUGAUGUGACUUCUUGGAAAAUGGAUAUGUGUAUAUUUGGAUCUCUGGCUGAAUGAUAUACCUCUCUAGCAGGUCUUGUUAUUUUGUAAAAAUGUAGAAAUACAAAGGAAACUCUGUCCAAUUA